AAACCAGCGCGUUUCCUUCAGAGCUCUCCCAGCUUGGUCAGUAAGCUGCAAGUUACAUGCAAUGCGCCUUGCUUCCUUACAGGAAAACCUCUUUUAACUUCUGUGUCCCAGAGAACUCCAAAAGAUGCUCCUGGAUACCAGGAGGCUGGGGCUCCCCGACGGCACAACAAAACAUAGAUCAGCAAUGUUUCCCUUCUUGAAAACGAAAAAUAAAUAUGCAGUAAACUCUUAUUCACACCAUGCUCCUAAACGAAAUCUAGAUGCAAUUAUUCAAGCCACAUUUGUCAUUUGGUGCUCCAUGUUUUUCCUGCAGUGCCUGGGGCACAGCGACCGCUGGCAGGUCAGGAGCAGCAGCAGCACGGCUGGGAUGCUCAGGGGAAACAAACCCCAUCACUUCUUCUUUCUGCACCCUGCCCAUUCAAGAAAUGUUCUAACAUACGAAAUUGACCUGUCUUUCUUGGCCAAAUAUACCCUGCUCCCUUGUAAAUGAAUUUGGUUGAAUAAAGAUGCUAAAAUGGGAGUUUUCAUACAAUUCUUAGUGUAACUUAAAAACAGAGGCAUUUCAACUACAAACGCAAGACAGCAGAAAGUUCAUUUCUUUGUUUGUUUUUUCAGUUGAAGCAAUGGGUGUUAUUUUUCAAUGCCUAUUCCACCUCCCAAUAGGAAGCCCUGGCAUCAGGACAUACACACACUGAAGGCUGCUCAGCAAACACAACAGCAGCAGUUCACGCUCCCACAGACGUACCUGCACCAAUGUGUCAGCAGAUAAUUGAUGUCACCUUCCCAUUCACCCCGACCCCUCCAUUCUAGAUUCCCACCACUUGCACACUUUGUAUGCAGAACUGCAUUAAGCCUGGGGACAAGCAAAGGGUCUGUAGUUUGUGUGAUUUUAAUACAGACACCAUUAAGUGAAACAAAUCACUUGCUAAUAUAACUGGACCGUGCAUUAUACAGCAAGAUGUCUCCAUCGCUUCCAACUUUUUGGGAGAGCUAGAGUUUGAUUCAUACCACAUUUCAUUCUGCAUGCCGCACUACACCAUUAACCUCUCGCUGAAACGCAUCUGAAACAACGAUCAGGCUUUCCAGAGCACAUGAUUAGCUCAUGUCCUUUACUUCCUCACAAAAUAACCAAGCGAUAUGGACUUAACAAUCAAAUUAUUAUCUAAGAGUACGUACUUUCCUCCCCUGACUCGUAAGUCCAUGCAUUCUGCUGUCGCCUAGGUAAUGUGAGUAGAUACACGGAAGAAAACAGGGAAUUAAAGCAACAAACACCAGCAAGAACAGGAGAAGCAGGUAUUUCAUCUUGUGUAUGCUUCCUACUUCCUCUACAAUGCUUCCAAGUCUUUAAAUAGCAAACUGGAAGAAAAAUACCUAAGCUGUCCUGAUGGAUCUUUGUACUGAAGCGAUGAAUCUCAGUCUCUUUCAGUUAAUAGGCUUCACACGUGCUUCCAAAAACCUCUAGCGCGCUCAAGCAAGCAGACUGAUUUUCCAGAAGCAGGAAGCUACAGAACUUUAAUAUAGUCCUGCACAUCACUGCUGCAGUGCAACGGAAAAAAAAACAGGGCUGUAGAAUAACAGAAAUGCAUUUAACAUCAAAGCAUCCAAGCAAGAUGCUCAUCAGUUCUUCAUGCUGAUAGUUAAAAGGCACCAGCAACCAGUCACAAACAUGAACUUGUGCACGAUACUCAUGUUAAAUAACAUCAUGCUCCUUACAGGACAGCUGAGACACUGCAACUUACACGCUACUUUCCUGUAAAGCAAGCAUGGGACAGAAAGAAACCAAGCCCACCUGAAAGUGUAAGGCCAUUCAAAAUAGCUGCCCAUGCACAGGACAGUAACACGGAGCAGAUGCAUGCAAUGCAUCAGCCAAAAUGUAGGUAAGAGACUUGCAAAAUUCAGAUGCAUGAACCUGAGUUCUGAUUAGACUAAUCUAAAAGCUGUGAUAGAAUUAAAAAUUUAAAGAUACUGAGAUAAAAAAAAGCAGCCUGAGGAUUAUCUGAAGUAGAGAACAACAGCAAUGAAUUCCCUUAUUUCCAUUACCAGUGAUGCUCACCACAAUUCUAAAGCUGAAGUGAAGUAAAUUUCUGAAUACAGAAAACAUGAAAUAGCAAAUAGAAAGACACGUUUCCAGUCAUUACCAGCAGCAUUUAGCAUGGAAAUGAACACACACACAAAAUGUCUACGAGCAUUUGUUUUUAAGCUGCUGGGAGCAGAAAGUUACUUAGUAUUUCUGCUCUUUACGCACAGGGAAGAUGCAGGAAUAUAUAGCUUAAAGAACACCGCUCAGCAUCAUUCUGAAACAUUUAAUACACGUCAAAUGUGUUGGAAAAAAAGGGCCUUGUCUUGCAGAAAGCCAUCUAUCAGAACAACAAAAACCAUGGCAAGGCAAGGAAUUCAUCACUUAUAUCUGUUGACAUUUUUAUGAUACCAACAAUCUCAAAAUUAAGCUUUUGAAAGAUAUAGAAAGAUAAAACUGUACUAUUCUUUGAAUAAAAAUACAAGUGGCUUCUUCCAGAAGCUUCAAAAUUAGCCACUCAGGCUUAUGUACUUCUGAUUUAGACACGCAGCAGUAUUCGCUUCCCCCUUCCCAGAUCCCAGCUUUCCCAAUGAAGCACAACAGAACAGGCUUCGAGUUCUCCCCCAUGGCACACUGCAGCCACACGGGGCAACCAGCAGUGCCAGGGCAACCAGCAGUGCCAGGGCAACCAGCAGUGCCAGGGCAACCAGCAGUGCCAGGGCAACCAGCAGUGCCAGGGCAACCAGCAGUGAGCUCCCUUCCCAUCCCAGCAAAGCCCACAGUCCUCUCUCACACCUCCGAAAUGCCUUCACAGCACUGACUGAUCUAUACUUUAAUGAGACAUGUUAGAGACCAGCUGCCAUAAGCAAAGGCUCCACGCCUUCCAGACUUCAACAAGGCAGUGGGCCCAGCAGAACUCCUGCUGAGACAACUGGAAGACAGGGGUACAGACCAAGGACCACCUCCGGACACCCACAUGCCAGGGCCAUGGAUGACCCCUCACUGCUGGGACAGCAGCCUCCCCCUGCAACCACAUUUCACCCGUCGCUGGGAGCCAAAACAAACACAUACAAUCUUAGCGGUUAGAACAGCAGAACGCAGCAAACUGACCCAGAAAGCAGAACGAUCAAAGACCUUGUGGCUUCUAAACUAAUGCAUGAACAUAAUCCUUUGACUCUAACUUUCCUGCAAUUACUUUUAUCAUGCAUGAGACACACCCAUUUACCCACACAAACCAAAACAAGCCCAACGCAAACCCUACAAAUUUAAUCAAGGAAGGAAGAAAGAGCAUGAGAUGUUCAUUUCUAUUUUUAAAUACUUGGGAGGUGCCCCAGCGCUCCCACCCUAGACAGAUACCUAAGGAGGUGCUGCAGAGCGGCGAGAUCUGGUGCACGAUCUGGCACUAGCUGGCACCUCUGACAGCAAAACAUCAGAGCAGCCACUCAGAAAGGCUUUUGAAAUAAUUGCUGCCUCUAAGCCAGGACAGAGGGCAGCUCAGAGUGUCGUUCCAGAAAAGAAGUACAUAAUAUAUACAUAUAUAUUCAAGCACACCAAGCUGCUCACAUCUAAGCAGCACUACAGUUUGUUAAGAACAAGACCGUCUCCUUCUUGUUCCCACAGUUCUCUUCUGCCUCAAGCAAAGUUGGUUGCCACUCUGGUUGCUCUCUCCCUCAUCCAAACGGUUUGCAUAGCAGAUCUGCUGAAACAUCAAGUUUUAACCAAGCCCUAAUCCUGCUGACUUUUCUCACAAAACUGCUGGAAAGGAAUUCCUGCUGGCAGCUGCAGUGCCUCUGCUCAUUAGUUUACCAAGCAGCAGCAGAAUGCAACAGACAGGCAGAUCGCGUCAGUGCUGCUCCGGAAAGCGGCAACAAGGGCCGAGCCGGCAGCAGGAAGGCUCCCACCAUCCCACAGCACACUGUGAGGACAGGACAGACACAGACCUUCCAAAGAAUGAAGGAGCACUGCCUGCAAGAACCCCCACAAGUUACUGUCACAGUCACUGCUGAUGCCUGGAACACAAACAAGGAGACUUAUUUUUAUUUCAACCUCUUCUAGUAAGAUUUGGGGGGUGGGGAUGUUUCAUUAAGAAAAACAAAACAAAAAACCCUACUGCUUUAAGGCAUUGUGUUUAAUGAGGCAAGACACAGAGCUGUGCACACUGAUGUCAGUCUCCCCUGGAUACUGGAAUAAUGAGUGGGACAACAGGGCAAAACAGAAGCCCACUGCCUGCUGACAAUGCUCAUCCCAGCAGCGCUCCUGUGUCCCAGUCAGAUGAUGCAGACCUCUCAGCACAUACAGAAAAGUAAAGAGCUUCACUCCUUGCUGCACAGUUUCAUUGAAUAACCAUAGUACAGAUUUUGCUUAUUAGGCAUGCUUAAAGCAAACCAAGAUCUUCUCUUGGAAGAUCAACACAGAGCUCUGCACCACUGCGGUGAUGGUGAGCCCAGCAUUCAGUACUUCCUCCUCCCAGGCCAGCCACCUUUUAUUAAGGAGAAAUGCAAGAAAGCUUCAGAGUUUGAAGUUUUCCGUACUAUGCGCGCUGUGGUGCAUCCAUCUCACUGGGAGGCUGUACCUAGCACCCUGGCAGCACCUGCACCAGAACACUAAAAGCACUGCAUUCCCAUUCUGUAAGUGCUCUCACACCCUAAGCUCUACUGUACUCAUCUCCUAAAGAUCGUCUGCCAUGGGCCAACAUCUCUAUCAUAGAAAGAAACUUCCUCAGGGUAGGAAAUAACAAAAUUUGGCCUAGAACGAACAUGGAUCUUUUCAUCUGUAAGAUAUAUCCCAAUUACUUUCAUUCUCCUGAAAACAACUUCAUUCUAAACCAGUCUUCAAAUGUUACAGAGCUGUCUAGUCAGUUUCCUGGACAAUGUGUCGGUUCCCCUGCCACCACUCUUUUCAUUUUCUCUCAAACAGAUGCGGACGCAGCACCUGCAGCACGAUGAGGAAGUUCAGGCUUUGCACACUGGUGUUAUCUGUACCACCCACCCAGCCAGGCUCUCCAAUGGCAGAAGUCAGCGCAGACACUGUGUCACCACAAGCUCAGGUCUGCACACUGUGCUUUGUGCAGACCAGCCAGUUCUGAGGGCCAGCCGGCCUCCCCCAAGCACUUCAGGUGAAGCACUUUCGCUACGAGUGCUCCUUCAGAGAAUUCCCCACAAAACAGGAAAGCAUUCACAACUCUCAACUUGCUCAGCCAGAAGUCGCAGCUCCUCCUCUCCACGCUUCAGGGCUGGAGGCAGGCAAUGCUCCUGUGAGUUACUGCUAAUCUUUUGGAGGAAAAGGUGAAUCCAAACAUGGGAAAUGCCACCCUAAGAGACAAAACUGCGUCUCUCACUGACUGGCCCAUGGCUGUGGGACGGACCGGGGGUGAGCACAAGGCAGGGCCAGGCAGGAGGUGCUGAGCAGUGGUGCCGUGGCCAGAGCCAGCAGGGCUGGGCUCCUGUUUGGUGCUGGGCUUUUGCUGUUGCUUGGUUCGUAUUUUUUCCCCUCUCCCACCAACAGCAGUUUCUCCGGAUGAGCUCGUGCCGCACGAGGCCUCCCGGUACUGCACAUCUGAGGACGACGAAGGCCUCGGAAUUAACACCAUACUUGUCUCUUGUCCAGGGAGAAGUCUUUACAGCCACAUGCCAGCCCCAUAAUUAACAGUGCAAAGCAUCCUCCUGUGUUUAUAACGCCACGGGAGCCAUUUGGACCAAACAACAAGGAUAUUUCUUCUUUUUUUUUCUUUUUUUUCUUCCUUUUACCUUUCCACCCCUUUGCCACACCCAUGUCAUGACCUCUUGGAACCAUGCUUACAAGCUCUGUCCGGUGCUCAGUGAUACAUAACUUCCAUUUUAGCGAAACAAUCCAUCUGCUCCAUGUGACUCAGAGCCCGCUCUAAGAAUGCAAUACUGUUUAGGCCAACCGUUGCACCGCACAAAGUGUUUUGUUCACAUGCAUUCCUUUGGGAUGACAGAGCCUAUCCACGGCUGUAACGGUUGGGGCCUGUGGUUUUUUUCCCUCAUCCGCUGAAUGCUGCAGUGACUAAGCUGACAAAAAUUCCUGGCCAAUUAUAAACCCACUUAAAGAGACAGGCAACCCCCUUGCAGCCUUCCCUCGCCAUCCUAUAUGGGAAGUUUCUAUACAUAGAAAAACAUCUCCUCCUCCCAAGGCUGCGUGGAUAUAAAAGACUUUCACUGCGCGCUCGACACUUCCAGCAUACUUCCUAAAUGGCAUCAUGUCACAGAACGAUAGCCGCUAUCGCCCAAAGCCCGCACACUGCUCACACCAAGCAAAAAGAUGCAAACAGGAGAAGCAGAGCCUUCAACUGCGUUACACGAAUAACAAGUUGGAGAAACCAUUGAUGGAAGGACACGGAGUACACAGGAAGCAGCGAGCAUCAAUAGUCACAGAGUGCUGUUUAUAAAGAGGGGAACAGCUAAGCGCCUAUAAACCAAAUGUGUCGCAACAAGUACCAAACACAUGGCAAGGUCAUGCUGACGGACAAGCUGCAGGCUGCACCCACCUAAGAGCACAAGCUGAACUUCAGCUAACAACCAGGAGAACUUGCAGUUGCAUCCCUAGCCCCUCUGACCACACACAUCAGCGAGCAACCCCCGGCAGCAGCGUGCUGACCAGGGAUCCUCACCUCACGCACCCAGUUUGUUCUCACUCACAGCAUCAAGGGUCAUACAAACACACUUAAUGAUUAGCCAGGGCACACAGGGCCAGGUAACCACAGGUUCAUCUUGCCUAGGGAGGUACAGCCCGCAAGAAGUGAGACCACCGUGGGUACCUCAGGCCCUGACCGUGUUACAGUGGGCAAGCCACUGGCUACGGCAUUUACACCGCUGAGCUGACAGCACGCACACAUUCCACUGCCAACGCUGAGAACUUCAUUGGGGAUGGAGAGGAAGAGACAAUCAAAAACUGAAUGAGGCCCAGCUCACCCUGGAAGCAGAGGGGGUAGAGGAGCAGAUUAAAAAAAAGUGAUCUUACAGUCUGAAUUAAUGUAAAAUUAUCCAAGCAUCCUGUUACAAGUUAGUUCUCAGAGCCAUAAACUGACUUGAGAGGGAAAUCACACCAUUAGUGGGAAGGAAGCCUAAACAAAGACUGCUUCAUCACUGUUACACACUGAAAAACUUGUUUUCAUGUGGCAAACAAUUCACGAAAACACUUAAGGACAAUUAGUUCCUACAUUCAUGCGUAUCUGGAGAAGGAAAAAGAAAAAUGGCAUAUACUACUCAAAAUGUUAGGGGGCACAAUUCACCCAGGGUCGAACUUAAGAUUUAUCUUUAUUUUCUACAAAAAGCAGGUUGUACAGUUCAGUGACUUUGCUCACAUGGCCACUUCCAAACCUCCUUUAGCUCAUUCUGGUCAAAUUCAGUUGCAGAUCAGUCAUCAGUGCGGAUACAGCUCUGUGCAGUUCAUGCAGAUAGAGAGCUGGGUUGGGGGACAGAUCUCUUCAGGGCCCCCACGCAGACAAACGGACUGCAGCUCAGCUCACCUCUAUUCGGACAUCCACACAAGCAAUCACUGUCACAACAGGACUCCCCAGCAACUGCUACUGAGCCAGCAGCCUGCUUGCAGAGGUAACGGACACAGACACAGAACUGCAGAAAACGUUGAGCCAGAGCAAGUCUGCCUUGUCCCUGCAACAUUUGUAAAAACACAGCUUUCUUCUGGUUUUACAAUUGACAUUUCCCUGACAUUUUGCGAGCUAUUCCCAGUUGUUUCGAAAAUUUAUCAUAAAAUUUAAGUCUUACAUUGCAUGUAAUUAACUACACAACUGCCUAUUCUAUUACCAAACAUUUGCCUAACAUCUAUCAACAGUGCCAGGAAAUCCAUGCUGUGCAGGGUAACCAAAGAUAAGGUUCAAGUUUAGAUACAUAUUUAACUUCAUAGGUCUAGAAUGACACUGCAGCAAAAGAAGGAAAAAUAAUCAAAGAAAAAUGUAAUUCUUCAAACCACACAUUGUCCUCAGUCUUUGCUGUGAUAGCAACUUACUUCUAUCUGUAGACGUGUUGCAUGCAAACACAAAGUGUUCUUUUCAAUGCUAGCACCAUAUUAUCACAUCUCUGAAACAUCUUUAACACAGCACCUUUAGAAGCUCCUCUAGGUUCUUACUGAGGGUGUAAUGGGGGAAAUAAAAACAACCUUUGAAAUAAAUAAGCAACACCUUGUAAAUCCUGAAUACAACUGCAGACACUGCCUUCCUACCCAGUGCCCACCAGCUCAGGUCCCUCAGCCCGUUCCCUGCUCCCAGCAGCCUGCACACAGUCAGACAUUGCACUAGGACUUUAAGUACUGCACAUUAAAAUAUUGCACACAUUACGCGUGGCAAAAUCAGAACAUUUCUGUAUCUUGUAAGAAGUGCUGCCACGGGUUUCUUCCCCACCUAUCACCACAGAGUAUCAGCAGAAACUCAAGUGAGGAAUUAACGUACAUGCAACCCAUAAAACUAUGACUAUUUGCCGUAAGCGAGCUCCAAUUAUACUUUUAUAGUUGUUUUUCUGACGGUGAAGCGGUUGUUUGGCAUCAGACGGUUCAACUAAAUCCAUACCAUCACAGUAACAAAAAGAACAUUCACAGGAAUUCAACAUUUCAUGCAACAAAGACCCGAACCCACGGAAGAUGGGCACGGUGCAGACCUCAGAGGGCAUUCAGCCCGGCCAGCUUCCAUCACUGCACAUACAGCACCAUGCACAGAGACCCGGCUGCACUCCCUUGCAUGGGCAAGUUUCUGUGGGAUACGUUAACUUCACAGCUGCUAAUCCCCACGCUGCAGGGAUCACAAUGCUCAUUCCUGUCACUGUGCAAAAAGGGGAUUCUAUUGCUGGGAAACAGGUGUAUGUACAUCCAGCCAUCCUGCCCGCUACUUGCGAGGCAAUGCAUGUCCACUGAAAGCACGGUAACUUUCAGUCUAUCGUUCUAUUUACCCUCCCUAUUCCUUUAUCAAAAGCAAUACCAAAAGAUUUCUACUGGAUAUCCCUACAAAGUGGCUGCGCAUCCCCAAGGAGCGUAUCUCUUUGGGCUGAUGGUGAGAGAGCAACUCGCAGUAGAUGUAAAUACCAUCUUCGGUAAGCAGAAAAACUGUGUAUGCACAUGUGUAUGCAAGCACAAGUAGAAAACACAAGGUUCAAGAUCCUAAGAAAAGCUCACUUUACCUUACAAAUUCAAGGUAUUAUUCUUGACCUCAUGAUUCACAACUUUUGCAUCGAUUUUGAAGUGUUCUUAAUAAAAAAAAAAAAAACAAAACACUGGCAAAGUCUCAUUGAUGCACACAAUUCGUUGUAUCAAGCCUUUAGUACUAAAAAACCAAACUCAAAUGCUCAAAAACUCAAAAAUGCUAUGUAUCUGUGCCAGCAGAAGCUAGAAGGCUGAGACAAAUCAUAAAUAAUAAACAUCAGCACUUCAUUUUUGGUGCCUGGUGCUGGCUGCAGGACUUGAGAUGCUCCUCCCAGGUUAUGGCAACUUCCAACAGAACCUUGCUACAGCACAAAGGAAAACAGCAAGCACACAUUUACGUUUUAGCCCUUUUCUCAGAAUAUGAACCACUGCUCCCGUAAUUAACUGCAGAUUGGCCUGCACUACUCUGUGGCCGUUCCAGCUUCCUAAUUAACUAUGCUCUCACAGCCAUAAUAAAAGUUCUGGGAAACCUUUGGCUGAAGAGCAGGCUGCUCAGGAGGGGACCGAAAGUCAGGAAGCACUUCACUCAGCACAAAAACACUAACAAAAAAUUGUUAACGUGCUCCAGAUUUUUCUAACUUGGUGACACCAACUGUGUCUUCUCCAGUUUUUUUGUCUACCCUUCAGUUUAUUCCUGACAUCAGAUGCUUAUUUGCUGCAGAGUUUGCAUACCAACCAAAUGGACAAACAACAUGUCAAUUCCUAAAUACGUUCAGGUUUGUAUCAAACCUUUUUUGCUUUUCUUAAACCCAGCAGAAGUAGCUGGAUCAGUACUACACACACGAGUUCCGCUUAAUACUAACUCAUGUCACAUCUGCUUGCUAGAAAAGUAAAACUUGAAACAGGUGUUGUCUUCUGCUGAUACAAGAAAUUUCUACUACAUUUCAGGAUUCAAACAAGCAAACAAAAAAAACACACCUUUGAAUAAAGCAGCAAACAGAAGCACAUACAUGUAACUGAAAACAAAAUAAGGGCAGUGUGACCCAGCACCUCUGGCUUCCAACUCAUCUCUCUGCUUUCAUUUGCCCCCUCCCCUACCACGUGCAUUGUUCACGUACAUCCAGUAUUUCUGAAGGACAGGGAAGCAAAAAAGAGAGGGAAAACCAAGGAGGAGGAAGGGAAAACAAAUCCCAGCACAUGGUUUUUGCCACUACUCUGCUGAAUCAACAGGGAGCAGAGCCCCAGAUGGCGCGCGCUGGUAAGCACUGCACGAGUCAAUGGAGCUAUGUCAAACGAUACCACCCAGCUGCAUUAUCUGCUGAGCUCCGUGUAAACAAACAGGAGCAGAUUCCGAAUAUUUGUGAGAAUACAUCAUGUUACUGUCUCCAUAUGUUUAAACAUUUCAGUGGAAGAUACAUAUGGACCACGCUUCCCACUCACUGUCAUUCUUUCCCUCCUGUUCACCAUUCCCCACAUAGACCACAUCUUUUCAGGCCACUGUCAAAGCAAUUCAGAGAGGAAUAAGGAUACAUUUUCAUUGAAAACAUUUUGUGCUCAGUCGCCAUCUGCUUCUUUAUCAGCCUCUAAAUCCUCACAUGCCUUUUCUGUGGUCUUUGGUUUCACACACUUGGAAGACUGAAGUUUUCUUCCGUUGUACUUUGGAGCAGAGUCUACACGAGCUAUUGUUUUUCAUAAAGAAUUCACCUCUUAGAACACGUGCUUACGGUCCCGAUUCUCUCUACGAAGAGAACUUAAACCUGAUUUUUUUUUUUAAUCUAAUUCUAAAGGUCUCUCAUACACUUCAGACAAUCGCUUUCAUCGUUUUUACAGGAAGCACAAUUGCGUCCCCUUCACGAAGCGCUCUGAUUUGCACUUUCUCAAAGAGAGAGCCCACACUCGCAUGCUGCUCUUUUACCUCCUGCAGAGCUGUCACAGCCCAAGCCACAGCCCUGGCUGUUCCCCAGCAGAGGAGCAGGUGAGCUACAGCUGAUACCAGACGGUGGAUGCAGAGCCGACAAAUAAUUAAGAUGCAGAGACCAAAAAACCUAAAAACCCUCCAAAUCCCAUGUACUCACAUCCCUGCUGGCUUUGCUAUUCUCUCCCACAAACACCUUGCCUGCUUCACGUCUCGUGGCUGCUGCAAGCACAGAAGUUCUAUAGGAAGCAUUAGCUGGACUCAUUCAAAAAACUGAACACAUUAUGGUAGGCAAGGGAUCCGAAACCUCUAGGCAAGCUUUCAAGGCUGUAAUUCACAAUUGGUUUAUGCAAAGAUCCAGCGACUAAGGCAGCAAGCCUCCAAAUUUAGCCAUCAGCAAAAGAAUACAGAAUACAAUGGGAGUUCUCCUUACGGUAGGUCAAUGGACAGCCCAAGUGAACAUGCCAACAGUGACUGCUCCUUCAAGGGGCACAGCAGGAACAGCCUUUCUGGUUCUCACAUCAAUUGUUGAGUAAGAUGCAAGCAGCUUUCCACAAGCAUUCCCAGCAGUCACAACUGCUGGGAAAAAAAGAUUCUUAUUUAUGUGCCUGAACACUAAGUUUUUACCUUUUCCAUCUCUGCCUGUGCCUCCAAGCCCAACCAUUCAUGUAAACAACUUCAGGACUCUCCUAUCUCAAGAGGUUUCUGUGUGGACCUGCAACAGAAAUGAAUGAAGUACAGCUGGCAUUUGGUAUGCCAAAAGCAAACUAGGUGCAGGUCAGAGAGAUCACAGCAUGCCAAACCCAGCACAGCCAGCAAAGCAAGGCUGCUGCCCCGGGGCACUCAAAGGUAAAGGAAUGCACACUGCACAGAAACCAGGGCAACACAGCUGGCAGAGACGCUGCUGACACUUUAUGCUGAACCUUAAAAAAAAAAUUCAAAAGAGUUCCAGCUUUGUAGCUUGUUCUAUUACAGAGACGUCAAUGGAUUAUUGUGAGUCAAACACAGCAUAUCCUUCCCUCUCUCCUCCCUCCACCCUCAACAUUGUUCCUGCACAAGUUACACUGAAGGAAGCACAGCAUUUUUCCUUUGUUUGUGAGCGAGAAAGAGAAGGAAAAAAACAACUUCCACUCAAUGGCAAUGCUAAACAAGAAGGCAGGCUACUUUAAAGUACUCAGUGUUCCCACACAACGUUUUACCCACCAACUUGAUAUCUUUCAGCGUAAAACCUACACAAGGACAAAAGAGAUUUCAUGUACACUCCUCCACAGAUCCAGAACAAAGAAAAAUAAAAAGGCAUAAAUGAACCCUGAGUGAUAGACAGCAUUUUCAGUUCAACGUUACUGUGACGCACAAGGAGAAUGUCAGGGUUAAAUUAAAUACUACAUGAGAAAACAUCCCUGGAAAAUAGCAUAGGUCUCAUGUCUCUACUGGUAGAGAAACGCAGGUAGCAACACCCUGUCACUUCAAGCCCUUGCUUCUAUUCUUUUUCAUGCCCUUGCAGUUUUGUACAGCAGAAUCCUCUCCAGACCGAGAGUUCAUUGCCAACGUGUUCACACAAUGCAGCACAACAGACUGAAAGCUUCCAUUUGAACAACGGGGCAUUCACACCUCCCUUGGUUAGCUUCAUGAGGACUGACGUUUGGAUUAUGGUUUGGGGCUUUUUAAUUUUAUUUUUAAGACCAACAGCUGGCAAAUGGAAAGCCUUCCCCUUCCAAAGUCAGUAGCUUAUCAGGACUAGGAGACUGAACAGGUCUAAUUUUUUCACUAUUUCUUUAAUAGAACUUGGUAGUUUUUGUUAUGUUCUGCAUGUUAAGAUACCCUGAAGUUCAGAGCCUAAAGCUACACUGUUUUUGCAGUGUAAUGCUUUUCAUGAGCCUUUUAAGGCUCUUUUUCAAUACUUGCUUUCUUCUUCAUGAUCUCCCACAAAAGGGAGAUGAAAGCAUACAGGAAAAGAACUACAUUCCUUCCAUUAUCAUCCUUAAAAGUGCUAUCAUCACAGUUUAACUAUGACCUCAUUUAUUUAAACAGAUCUCUUCUCAUGUGCAUUUGGGAUCCAAAUUACGUUAACAUUCCCCCAGAAGUCAACAAGGUUUUCUUACACGUUGCUUUUGUCUACUCCAAACAGCCACAGCACACAGCAGGAAGAGCACUCCAUUAAACAUACUCCAAUUACAUCCAUUCAAACCACUAAGGGCAAAGGAGAUGACACAGGAAUCACCAGUGACACUCUCAGCAGAGAACGGAGUUGCACUCUUGUGAUGAGGACAUAAACUUGGCUGCUGAAGCCUAACGACUCAUAGCAGCACAUGGGAACAAAGCAGUGCAGCUCAAUUCCCUCACCUCAGACAAGUCACAUGCCUACCAGUUCAAUGUGAGGGGUUUUCUUGUUUCAACACAAACUUCAUUUCCUGUACAAGUUACUAAUAAAAAUCAUAGUCUUAUACAUGACUUCAGUCGGAGAUAUUUUUGCCAUACGCUCACUGAAAGGGCCCUACAAACUGCUUCAUUUUGGUUCUAACUGAACACAAGGACUUUACUCACUUAAAUACAAGCAAACCACCACCUUCCCCAGACAAAGGUAGGCUGAACAGCCCUGUUUAAGUUUUCCUUGCACUCUGGUGUUCCCCAGCGUUAGAGCAGCUUUACUCAGGACAGCGCAUGGAAUUUAGGAACUGUUCCUCCCAGCAAUGACUGCUUGUAAUUAAGACCUGCUGAUACUCCAGGGCUCAGCUUUCCUGCAGUUACAAGAUGAACUCAAAAAGCCUGUCAUGCAAUCGUGUUAUCUGAGUAAACUAUGUAUUUGUUUACUCUAUUUUUAAAAAGUGAGAAGAGAUCAGCUUGUGCUUUUGCUACUGAUUGCUAUCGGAAAAAUAAAAACCCUGUCAUGCCGGAUAACCAGAAAACAGGCAAGGAUCAUUUCACUGAAAGUGACGAUAGCCAUCGACUCUCUAACACCACAGACUGUUCUGUAAAAAACUAUUUUAGUAAAAAAAAAAGUUUACGUACAGAAUUUAUAAUCACAGAAACUUCUCAAGGUGCCUGCCAGGGGAGGCAAAAAACAAAGUCAAAUUAAGUUAAUUGAACAGCUUCAGCACAGCAAUGACAGGCACACGUGAAAUGUCACUGCAGCAAGGAGGUGAUGGUACCUGAAAGCCAUCUCCUGCCAAAGUCAUCAACAGACACAGAAGCGGUUCCAGCCUUGCUACAGUGGCUCUAAUUCUACACUUAAACACUUGGCACUUCUUAAUGAGGAAGUAACCCAGAAAGUCUGAGUUUUUGUGGCUGGUUUUGUUUUGUUGCUAUUUUAAUUGAGUGUGAUGACCCUUUACUUACUGGUAGGAAUUUAUCUGUCUAGUAACUGGAUAACAUGUCACGCGGACUACAUACCAGAAUAAAAGUCUAGGUUGUUAAACAGCUUAAAAUACAACUACAAAAUUAAACCUUUACUUCAGAAAGAGAGAACAAAAAGCACAAGCUAUUUGAU